rnacentral:rRNA from 1 species
GACGUAGGGUGCAAGCGUUGUCCGGAUUUACUGGGCGUAAAGAGCGCGUAGGCGGUCUGUUAAGUGUAGAGUGAAAGCUCCGGGCUCAACCCGGAAAUUGCUCUGCAUACUGGCAGACUUGAGGGAUGCAGAGGUUUGUGGAAUUCCUGGUGUAACGGUGAAAUGCGCAGAUAUCAGGAGGAACACCGGUGGCGAAGGCGGAUCUCUGGGCCAUUACUGACGCUGAGGAGCGAAAGCGUGGGGAGCGAACAGG